GUAAGACGGAGGAUGCAAGCGUUAUCCGGAAUGAUUGGGCGUAAAGCGUCCGCAGGUGGCAGUUCAAGUCUGCUGUCAAAGACCGGGGCUUAACUUCGGAAAGGCAGUGGAAACUGAACAGCUAGAGUAUGGUAGGGGCAGAGGGAAUUCCUGGUGUAGCGGUGAAAUGCGUAGAGAUCAGGAAGAACAUCGGUGGCGAAGGCGCUCUGCUGGACCAUAACUGACACUCAGGGACGAAAGCUAGGGGGGCGAAUGGGAUUAGAUACCCCAGUAGUCCUAGUCGUAAACGAUGGAUACUAGGUGUUGUCUGUAUCGACCCGGACAGUGCCGUAGCUAACGCGUUAAGUAUCCCGCCUGGGGAGUACGCACGCAAGUGUGAAACUCAAAGGAAUUGACGGGGGCCCGCACAAGCGGUGGAGUAUGUGGUUUAAUUCGAUGCAACGCGAAGAACCUUACCAGGACUUGACAUGUCGCGAAUCCUUUGGAAACAGAGGAGUGCCUUCGGGAGCGCGAACACAGGUGGUGCAUGGCUGUCGUCAGCUCGUGUCGUGAGAUGUUGGGUUAAGUCCCGCAACGAGCGCAACCCUCGUGUUUAGUUGCCAUCAUUAAGUUGGGCACUCUAAACAGACUGCCGGUGACAAACCGGAGGAAGGUGGGGAUGACGUCAAGUCAGCAUGCCCCUUACGUCCUGGCUACACACGUACUACAAUGGUAGGGACAGAGGGCAGCCAACCCGCGAGGGCGAGCUAAUCCCGUAAACUCCUGCCUCAGUUCAGAUUGCAGGCUGCAACUCGCCUGCAUGAAGGCGGAAUCGCUAGUAAUCGCAGGUCAGCAUACUGCGGUGAAUCCGUUCUCGGGCCUUGUACACACCGCCCGUCACACCAUGGAAAGUUGGCCACGCCCGAAGU
rnacentral:rRNA from 1 species